rnacentral:rRNA from 1 species
AAGCGGUGGAUGAUGUGGUUUAAUUCGUAUGCAACGCGAAAACCUUACCUACCCUUGACAUGUCCGGAAUCCCGAAGAGAUUUGGAGUGCUCGCAAGAGAGCCGGAACACAGGUGCUGCAUGGCUGUCGUCAGCUCGUGUCGUGAGAUGUUGGGUUAAGUCCCGCAACGAGCGCAACCCUUGUCAUUAGUUGCCAUCAUUUGGUUGGGCACUCUAAUGAGACUGCCGGUGACAAACCGGAGGAAGGUGGGGAUGACGUCAAGUCCUCAUGGCCCUUAUGGGUAGGGCUUCACACGUCAUACAAUGGUCGGUACAGGGGGUUGCCAACCCGCGAGGGGGAGCUAAUCCCACAAAGCCGAUCGUAGUCCGGAUCGCAGUCUGCAACUCGACUGCGUGAAGUCGGAAUCGCUAGUAAUCGUGGAUCAGCAUGUCACGGUGAAUACGUUCCCGGGUCUU